CUGGGUUGCCUGGCACUUCAUGUUUGUUGGGGAUGAGAGUUAGGGAGUGUUGUGUCAAUAGACUGUAGGGACAGACAUGUGUUGGAUUAUCCUGGGCUGUGUCCUAAAGGUCACUUGGGAGUGCGUAAGAAAUCCCAGCAACAAGAAGUGGGGUACACAUACCUGGUGGCCAAAGAAGAAAUGAUGGACAAGCCUCCAAACAGAGUCGCCCUAACUCGUACCCAAAAACCGUCACUGAGGAUAUUAUCCAGAAUCCCAAGAUACCAGGAGCCAGCUUUAGGCGGCACUAAGGAUCUUAUGUGACGAGGUGGCUGAUGUUGGAAAAAGGAUAGAUACCCUGUGAAGAUCUACUCUACUGAGUCAAUCAUCCACAGUUCCGAGAGGAGCCAUCCCCACUCCUUAACUUGAAUGAACAUUCAAGAAUUACCUGCUGGUGCACGUGUGUCUAAUCUAGGACUCAAUGAGACAAUGAUUCUCAGGCCACAGUAAGACUCAAUUGAGGCUCUGUGGAGACUCGGGUGCCCUGCCGAACCUUCUCCUGUCCUGAUUCUUUAUGGGAGCUUAGGCCUAGAUGCUGGCAUGCUGGGGUAGCUUCAAGCGCAUGCGCUGUGGGGCCAGGCUGCAGUAGGAGCCACAACUUUAUCCACUCGUGCACCUGAGCCUGAACAUGUGGUAUUCGUCUUGGCGAGCCAUAGUUUUAUCAAGGGGAAAGUGAGGACACUUGGAGGAUCUGUUUGCCGGGGUUUACGUGAGCUAUCAAACACUGAGGUGUCGCUAAUGACUAAACAUGGGCAGCCAGGACAAAGCUUGGCAUCGCUGAUAAAACAGUGACUUGCUUAUGAACUGUCCAGGCGAAGGGCAUCCCGCUGGUGUCAGCAGCUCCAUCAGGAAGGUGGGAAUACUCCGUGCUGAGGAAACUACACCAGUACGUGUCUACUGUCGGCAAGAAAACAGAAAAAUCUAGAGGUCAGGAACUCGCAAUUGAAGGGAGAAUCCAUGUGCUUGCCUGCAGAGAUCUUAAGCAGGGAAAGGCCCCCGGACAACUGCUUCCUCGGCUUCCUCACUCUCUGGCUUGCACCUCUCGAGUUGUUUCUUCCCAGAAGCCCUUUUUAGAACAGCGCCUCACUGCUUACAAUAGAAAGCAAUGUUGGGUGAGCAUUGCAGAGCCUCAUAGCCCUUUAUCCUGCACGUGUGGUGGGUCCUGCCAGCCUACCCACUUGAGUGUUCUGCCAAGACGCUGACUGCUACGGGCCUCACAGGAUAAGGAACACCGCUGACCGUCAGUCAUGGUGGACCAUGCUAAGAGUGCAUAACCAUCAGGACUGCACGUGCCAACCCUGAAAUCAAGCAACCAGACCCACAAGCAAAUGGGGACGUCAGAGUUAAUUACAGUGAAAAGAAAGGAGGAGGCUGAGCUGGUUGUACAAUACUCACACCGGUUUGCAACUGGAUGCUUCCAACAAGUCACUUUGGAAGGUCACAGGCAGAGGAGGAGAUCAAGACUAGAACAUUCAUCUUCAGCAACUACAGCAAAAUCCUGGAGCCAUAUUUUCAUGUGCCCAUCAUCUUCAGAGAUUAAAGGAGUCCAGGAGCAAGCCUGUGCUAACAGGGGCAUUAGGGGAGAUGAGGCAGGGGCCGAAACAGAUGGAAGAAGGCCAUUCCCUUGGGCGAGUUAGAGUGUGUGGGUUUCUCUGUGAAAGAUCCGCACCUGCACCUGCAGUGCUCUUAGACCCACCUGCCAUCAUCACAAGGCAUCAUGGUGGAGGUCGAGAUAAACCAUCCUGACCUCACUAGGCUCAAAGGCGGCUGGGACUGACAAGCCUGUAGCCUGGCUUACACCACCUAUGAAAACGGGAGCAGGAUGACAUUCUCCGAUCGACUGUCCAGUUCUCCUUUAUCUCUUCUUGGGGGCAUUUGGAGACUUGCUGUGGUUAUUUACGGUUUGGUUCAAUCCAGACUCCACACUCUUCUUGAUUAGAAAGUUAAGCUUCUCUCCUUCUUCCCCUAAUUCCCCUCACAGACACAUUCUGCCUCCAAAACAAAUGCUUCCCAGUAGCUUUGUUCUGCAGUUGCCCUUAACGAGACUACCAAAGGCCCAAGUGCCUCUGAUGGCAUGGGAAAACGAACAUGCUAUUUUCCCUGGGAUCGGCCUCAGCUGUGGGCUCUGCAGACACCAAUGACAUUUUCCUCGGGCUGCUGCAAAGAUGAUGUGAGAAUGACCACAGAGCAAGAGCACCAGGUAGCCUGACACAAGGAAGUAGUCCUAUGGGGCCAGAGAGGUGGCUGACUGGGUAAGACUGCUGUUCCAAGGGUUCAGAUCCCAGCACUCACAUCAGAUAGCUCACAACCAUCUGUGACUGCACUUUCAGAGGCUCCAACUCUUGCCUCUGCAGGUGCCCGCACAUAUGUGAGACACACUCUCUCCCUAGCCUCCAACACACACACACACACACACACACCACACACACACACACACACACACGAGGAGGGGGGGAUAAAAGUAAAUCUUUCUUGGGGGAGACUCCCUCUGGAGCUCUCAGGGAGGGAGGAACCGCUGAACAUACACAUCAAAGCAAGUGCAGGUGACGCCAUCACAAGUCCCAUCUUGAGCCAAGGUAGUGGUGUCACGAUGAUAAAUAGUGGUGUGGAAUGGCAGGAUGAUAAGGGGAGCCGAUUACCAUCAAACAUACUCAUCCGUUUAAUUAGCAAGUCUGAAAGGCCCUCCCCACCCCAGCUGGUGAGUUGGGAUGGUGACCCACAUUUCGAUGAAUAACAGACACCGCUGUGGGACAUUGUUGUGUUCUCAGGGCCAAUGAACCAUUUUCAGGUACAACUUAUUUUUUCUUCUCUGUUCUGGAUAGGAAUGCAACUUGAAUGUAGGAACACAAGAACAAAGUAAACUGGAAACAAGGCAAAAGAAAGAGCCCUUUCUUCUUGACUAAAGCUAGGUUUGGCUUGGUUCUCUUUUGGAAAAUCUCCAUAUUCUGAAGCCAGGCACUCGAGAGAGGCACAGCUCCACAAGGCAGGGAACAGUGAGGGUAGAAGAGAAAGGGACCUGAAUUCAUGCUGCAAUUUCUUUUAAAGGAUUUAUCUAUUUUAAGUGAGAACACUGUUGCUCUCUUCAGACACACCAGUAGAGGGCAUCAGAUCCCAUUACAGAUGGUUGUGAGCUACCAUGUGGUUGCUGGGAAUUGAACUCGGGACCUCAGGAAGAGCAGUCAGUGCUUUUAACUGCUGAGCCUUCUCUCCAGCCCCAUGCUGCAGUUUUUCCAGUGUUCCCAUGGGAGGUGUGUAUUCUGCACACUCAGUAUGACAGGCAGUGUAGCACUGUAGUUAGUUAUGAGGUUGUGCUUAAAGGCUCCAAUAGUCAGGUGGAGCUCUAGCCCACUAAUGUCCAGUUCUGUGACUUCUGAACAACGUGUCCAACUGCCUUAGCUUCAGUUAACCCAUCUCUAAAAGGUACAUUCCUAUCUGCCACAAACGGGAUCACUAAGUGAGUUAAUACUUGGUGGCUAAUAAGUGGUAUUUUCUGGCCAUUUUCAAUGUCGGGAAGAUCAUAGCCUGGUCCUGAGAUCCACUGAGUUUCCAAAUGAUGAUCUGCUUUUCCACUGAGACAUGAUGUCAGCUAAGAAGAAAUAUAAGAGGGAACAGUUAUUUAUAGAGUUCCUGGAUUCUUAGAAGAUCUUGCCCAUGACAGAAACCAUUGUAAUCUUGUCUGAGCUGUCCUUUCAUUAUUGCCUAAGGCCUGCUGGUAGCAUCUGGGAAUUUGGGUGUUCCAUAGUAAUCUCCUUUGAACUAAAAAAUUCCAUCAGGGAGAGAAGCUCAUUAAUACUCAGGAAGUGUGUGUGUGUGUGUGUGUGUGUGUGUGUGUGUGUGUGUGUGUGUGCACAUGUGUGCAUGUUUGUGUGGAUGGGUUUGCUACAUGCAGGCAAUGUCAGUGGAGGACACAAGAUGAACUGCCUGAUGUGGGUGCUAAGAACUGCUUGCCUCUGCAAGAGCAGCAAGUGCUCUUAACUGCUGAGGCAUCUUUCCAACACUUAGAAAGUUUUAAAGGUAGGUUGUUUGAGACUGAGGAAAUAAACAACUCAGAAAUCUCAGGAAAUCCAUGAAGUUUAUCAAAUUCAUAAGGCUCCUUCCUCCCUGUGGUUGUACAUGCAGUAAGAACUGCUGAGGGGAAGAGACUCUCACCUGUCAAGCUGGCUACAAAUUGUGCAGAGAGCUCCAGGGUCCCAGCUUUUGUGAAUCUUCAUUCAUGCUGGGUGGGCUUUGGUGAUGAGGCUGCCUUUAAGUCACCCUACUUCUACAAGAAUUCUUUCACCCAUAUUCCUUUAAGUAACACCAUAAAAUCUCAUUUGUUUACCAAGUUGGGCUUUGGUGGCAUUAUUACUUUGAUCUGUUACCAG
ensembl:lncRNA